AAAGUAUACAAUUAGGGUGAUAACUAAUCUGUAGAAAAGAAGAAAUUUAGACACCAAGUGAGAGGAAGGUUUACCUGUGCGGCUACACCAAAGAUCAACUUGGAGUUCUAUUAGAGGGAAUCUUCUUUAUUAAUAGUUAACAUGUAUAAUCGUGGAUUAAUUAUCGUUAGUGGGUCUUUAUGAUGAAUAGUGGAAAGAGAUUAAAGAGAAAUCGAAUUGUGCAAAGUUGAGGAACGUGCUGAUCGGGCAGUUGACAGUUUGUUAUAUGAAAAUGAUUGGAAAGGUUCGGAGGCAAUAAGGAAAGGAAAGGCAUUGGAGAAGUAGUUACUUGACUUCAAUUCUUCGGUGGAGCAAGUGUACCAUUGACUACGACUCGCCCUCAUCUCUAACCAGUCUCCAGCACAUCAGAGUUCAGGAUCUAUGAUGAUGGGAGUUUCAAGUUUGAUGUGAUUUAGAUUGGCUUCAACUCUAUACCUUGAUUUUUCGGCAUCAAUGCGGCAUUGCUCAGGCGUCAAACCGUUGCUUGAAGCUCCGAGGAAGAAAGGAUUAUAGUUUGCAAAAUUGUUCUGUAACUUUUUUUUCUUUUGAUUUUGUUAGUUUUAAUUUUUCAUUUGAUUUGGGUGUUUUAGUUUGACUUCUUUUUAAAAAAAAUCAAAACAAAUAAAGAAAAAAAAUGAAAAGAAUAUUAAAAAUAUUUUUUUUUAAUGUUAAUCCUUGGUCUUCACUCUCUCAAAGCGAGUGAAAUACACUCACUUUGCCGCACAAUCAUUUAGGGAGGUAAUAAUUUUAAUUUUAAUUUUAAAUAGUUAGGGAGGUAAUAGGAUCCCCGUAGAAUAUAAGUGUGUAGCUGAAAAUCCGGUAAUAGGUUGGGAGGCCAUUUGGCCAUUUUCUCUAUAAAGUUUAAUCGACUCUCUAGACCUCUCCAGUAGAAGCUCUUGAUCCUCUUGUUGGUACGUGGAGUGAUA